rnacentral:tRNA from 2 species
GGGGGUGUAGCUCAGUGGUAGAGCGCGUGCUUAGCAAGCACGAGGCCCUGGGUUCAAUCCCCAGCACCUCCA